rnacentral:lncRNA from 1 species
GAGAUUUGGUGGCAUACGUGGAGAAGCAGGACUUGAUAUAACCUAGACAUGGCCUUUGAUCCUUCCAAAGUGCUGGAAUUACAGGUGUGAGCCACCACGGCCAGACUUAAUCUGGUUUCUUCUUUAAAAUGACAUUGAUGCUCUUGAACCCAGACCAGUUGUCUUGCAGAAUACUCACCAAUUUGGAUUUGCCUAUUGCUUCCUCAUGAUUAUCAGGUUAAAUGUUUUUUGUAAGCAUAUUGCAUAGGUCAGAUGAGGGGCAUGCACAUUUUCAACGUUACCAGUCAUUCCUAAAAUACUCUCUUCAAUGGAUGUGCCAGUUUACAUUCCUAGCGGCACCAUAGCCA